AUAGAAAGAUAGAUAGAUAUACAUAUCUAAACAGAUAGGUAUAUUAUAUUAGACACAGAGAGAGAUAGAUAGACAGAUACAUAUGCAAAGUAGGUAGAUAGACAGAUAGACAUAUAUAUGGAUAGAUAGGGUGAGAGAGAGACAUAUUCAAACAUGUAGAUAUAUAUUUGACAGAGAGAUAGACAUAUAUGUCAUGUAGGUAGAUAGAUAGACAGACAGAUAGAUGGAUUGAUAGAUAGAUAGAAAUAUACCAGAAAAGGGGAUUGAUCAUCUUAUGUGUAUAAGUAUAAAUGCAAGUUGGAAUAUGUUAACUUAUUUUGUUAGGUAGUUUUAAAUCUGUGCAUACACUCAUAGCUUAUUAGCUGUCUAUAACACUCUGCAUUUCAUAUUUUUGUAAAACUGAUUAUACUUUUAAACAUGCUUGGAUGUUUGUGUAAACUCACAAACUCCAGAUAGUAAAUUGGUUGAAAGAAAGUUCAAUGCUCCUUUGUCCAUUGACACAGCUCCUUUUGUUUAAAGCACAGGUUGAUGUGGUAGCCUUAUCACUGCAUUGUGGUUACUGUUCCUCCUCCAUCCAAACUCCUUCCCAGAUAAUUGCUCCCUGACUUCAGGCGCAAAUAAACUUUCAUAUUGGUUAUGAUCCACCCUUCUUUCCUGAUUAGUUGAUACAUUGUUUAACUCCUCCCCCCUAAUAGGCAAAAGUAAUUAAGAGUUGUACCCCCCAAAUAAUUAAGAAAGGACUUCUCUUCUCCGUCUCUUGACGAGAGGACAUCGCGUGCUUGGUCUCCCUCGCCAUCCUUUUUUAGGGGUUACCAUAUGGCCUUUGUUGGGGAGUACCUAACAUUAUAACAGCCUUUUUAUAACCAGCUAUAUUUCCUACUGUGUAUAUCCUUGAUUGGAAAAAAAGGUACUGAGAAAAAAUAAGGAGAUGGAGUAAAAAAAUCAUGGAGGAGAUGCUGAUGAAGCUGAUGAUGAUUUAAUGAAGAGUGCAAUGAAUAAACUAAUAUUAUGAAGUAUGUGGAGAAGGGGGAUCGAUGAAGAGGAAACGAUGGCUUUCACAGAAGGCAAUAGAGCAGAGGAAGAAGAAGUAUGGUUUUGAGAAUCACAUAGUUAAUGUCAUUCACAAUGAAAAAAAAAAUCCGCUUUGCACAGACCCCAUCGUCCAGCCAACACCCCCAAGGACCUAGGUCAAUGAUAAUGAUUAAUGAUCAAAUUUUCCAUGCUUUGCGCUGUUGAAUGUCUGUUAACACGUAUAUGUGCAGCUGGGGUUAUCACGGGUCAUCAUAAGAUUUCAAGCAAGAAGCUUAGCUCCUUGUUCUAAGCUAGGCUGUGUUGAGAAAGAGAGGUCAGUUUCGUUUUGGACAUGGUUUACUAUGGUGCACCAUCUGUAAUAGCUCUAUGGUUUCACCAUUUCACUAUUAUACAUACUGUAUACUGUGAAGACUUGAUAUUGUACAACUUUUAAACACUACAAUUGGAGAUUUCUGUGAUUUUAGAGUUUUGGUUAAUAGACUUUAUGCCAUAACACACCAGGAGAGUACGUUUGAAGCCUGCCUUUUUCUUCUCAAUAUUGAACUAUUGAUAGAUUUCUGUGAUUUUAGAGUUUUGGUGUUCUUGUUUUGGUAUCUAGACGGAAAUCAAACUGAAUGCAGUGCUGUUGACUUAUUCACAAUCAUAAAUAUAAAAGUGUGCAAUUGGUCAGACUGCAGCUCACGGUCAUCAAUUACAGAAAAGGUAACAUCUAUUGAGGAAGGUGUUGGUACUGUUAAUUAAUCAUCCACUGAGGAAACUCGUGAAUUUGUAAUUUGAGAUUCACUGAGGAAGCUCGUGAAAGUAGCAUUUAAUCAUCCACUGAGGUGGCUCGUGGAUUUGUUAUUUAAAAAUAAAACCCACUGAGGAAGCUCGUGUAAAUAUGUAAUCAUCCACUGAGGAGGCUCGGGCUUUUUAAUUCAAAAAUAAAACUCAACGAGGAAGCUCGUGGAGAUAUUAUUCAAUCAUUCACUGAGGUGGCUCGUGAAUUUACAAUUAAAAAAAAAAAACUGAGGAAACUCGUGAAGAUAUUAUUCAAUCAUUCACUGAGGAAAUUCGUGAAUUUGUGUUAAAAAAUAAAACCCACUGAGGUGGCUUGUGGAUUAGUCAUUUAAAAAUAAAACCUACUGAGGAGGCUCGUGGAGAUAUUAUUUAAUAAUUCACUGAGGAGGCUCGUGGAUUUUUAUUUCAAAAAUUAAAACCCACUAAGGAAGCUCGUGGAGAUAUCCAAUUAUUCACUGAGGAAACUCGUGGAUUUGUAAUUUAAGAAUAAAACCCACUGAGGAAGCUCGUGGAUUUGUAAAUUAAAAAAUAAAACACACUGAAGAAGCUUGUGGAGAUAUUAUUUAAUUAGCCACUGAGGAGGCUCGUGGAUUUGUAAUUUAAAAAAUAAAACCCAAUGAGACUGAGGAAGCUUGUGGAGGUAUUAUACAAUCAUUCACUGAGGAAGCUCGUGGAUUUGUAAUUUGAAAAUAAAACCUACUGAGGAAGCUUCUGGAGAUAUUAUUCAAUCAUUCACUGGGGACGCCCGUACAUUUGUAAUUUGGGAAUAAAACCCACUGAGGAAGCUCGUGGAGAUAUUAUUUCAGUACUGAGGAAACUUGUGUAUUUGAAAAAGUUGAAGAUUUGAAGAAAAUUGAAUUUUUGAAGAAAAUUGAAUUUUUGAAGAAAAUUGAAGUAAAGAGAACAAGAUUGUCAAAUACAAGUGUGUUGGAGAAAUUUGAUAGUUGAUAUAUGAUAACAGUUUUUAAAAUUUCAGAUAUAUGAAACUUUGUUUGAUUACAAAAUAGUGAAAAGAGUUGAAAUAAGAGAAUAAGGAUCAGAUGUUGAAACAAAAGUAAGUGACAUUGAUAAAUUACACACAUUUGAAGAAGAAAGUGAGGAAACAUUAAAGAGAAUAAGGUUCAAAAGUAUAUGUGGGCUGAAGUACUUGCAGACCAGCAUUAUCAUUUACAGAGUUUUAGAAAUCACAAAAAGGUUGAUUAAUUACAAAAAGAAUAAAGAAAAAUAAAGUCAAAGAACAAGGUAGAAAAAUAAAAAUUGGCUUGAUUGAUUGUAAUAAAAUAUUUGAUCAGAAAUAUCCUUUUGCGUAGUGAGCUUGAUAAAUUACAAAAUAAAAAAAAACAAUUAAGACAACAAAGUUUACAAAAAUCAAGUAGUUU